GCCUGGGUGGCUCAGUUGGUUAAGCAUCUGACUUUGGCUCAGGUCAUGAUCUCAUGGUUCGUGAGUUCAAGCCCUGCAUCAGGCU
rnacentral:tRNA from 1 species